UAGUUCCGACUACCGACCCAAGCUCCGCCCACCUUGGUUACUGUUGCUACGUCCCCCAAGCUUUGGGAUGCCGAGCUGUCAAAAUGGCGGAUACACGAUCAGGCACCGUUUGCCUGUUGACAGUUCUCGACACAAUAUCUGUUGCAUUCUUGCCAGAUCAUCCUACUUUGACGCAGAAAUCGCAACAGACAGGCUUACACUAUUUCUUCACAGGGUUAUAUCCAUGAGAUACGAGUUUAUAACCGUGACAACACCUCUGACAUUGAUGCUAUGUGCUGGCGGUCAAUGUCGAAGAAUCGGAGCCCGCAUACCCUCCAUUUGAGGAUUGACACAAGCGCCGAGAAGAUCGUUCACAGCUAUUGUUCUUGUAAAGCUGGAUUUGGUGAAAGAUGUUCCCACAUCAUUGGCCUUGUGAAGACACUUCAGGGAUUGAAGCCUCACAAUUUCACGCACAUUCAUGAAAAACAGAGUUGCACCAGCCUCCAGCAACAGUGGCAGAUUCACAGGGGCAACAAGAUCAUCCCAGUGCCUAUCAACCAAGUGAUUGUGGCUCAACCUCUUGCCCAGUCUAGAAAUAGGAAGCCAAUCAUUUGUCAAGUUCAGUGACACCAGACUUCCACAUAUUACCCCACUGCAGUAUGUGCUACAGACAGAUGCACCCCGGUGACUAAACACUCUGCUCGGAGACGUCUAGCUUGGGAUCAGUCUUGUCAUAUCAGAUGAAAUCACGUGCAGUAUCAACUACGUGCGCCCCCAUCACGUUUCCGAAAGUGUCACCUGUACAACUCGAUCCUGGGUAUGAAGAUCUUAAUGCCCAGUAUCAACUUACAGAUCCUGGAAAAGAUCUAAGAUCUAAUCGUCUUACAGCUUCCAACCUCGGAAAGGUUAUGAACAGAAAGAAGAAACCUACACUAUCUUUCCUCAACAGUCUAUUUCCCAAGACUUCUAUGCAUUCAGUAUCUCUUUCCUAUGGGAAGAACAUUGAAGUACAGGCCCAGAAAAGAUAUUUAGAACACAAAAUCUCAAACC